UNGACAAAUACGUAGUGGGUGCUUACCACG
rnacentral:piRNA from 1 species